rnacentral:rRNA from 1 species
GAUGAACGCUGGCGGCGUGCCUAAUACAUGCAAGUCGAGCGAACAGACGAGGAGCUUGCUCCUCUGACGUUAGCGGCGGACGGGUGAGUAACACGUGGAUAACCUACCUAUAAGACUGGGAUAACUUCGGGAAACCGGAGCUAAUACCGGAUAAUAUAUUGAACCGCAUGGUUCAAUAGUGAAAGACGGUUUUGCUGUCACUUAUAGAUGGAUCCGCGCCGCAUUAGCUAGUUGGUAAGGUAACGGCUUACCAAGGCAACGAUGCGUAGCCGACCUGAGAGGGGGAUCGGCCACCUUGGAACUGAGACGCGGUCCAGACGCCUACGGGAGGCCGCAGUAGGGAAUCUUCCGCAAUGGGCGAAAGCCUGACGGAGCAACGCCGCGUGAGUGAUGAAGGUCUUCGGAUCGUAAAACUCUGUUAUUAGGGAAGAACAAAUGUGUAAGUAACUAUGCACGUCUUGACGGUACCUAAUCAGAAAGCCACGGCUAACUACGUG